GGAAACACUUUUUCAGCUGCCCGGCGAGGGACAGAGAAUCCUCCAUGAGUACUUGUAUCACUGGCUGUCAAAGUUUUACAAAAAUAAUUUGCUGGCUGUUUGCUGGAAGUGCCCAAUUCAGUGGGAAGAUAGGCAUCCUUCUGUUCUUGAGGACUCAAUGGCUGUAAGGUCAUCUGUGCAUACACUUCAUCCGUCUCAACAUCUGCAUGCAUGGUCACGUUGUGAAGUUGACAGAUAAGUUGUGGAGGUAAGCUUGGGUAGUUAGGAAUAUGGGCAUCCACUUCCUUGUUAGUUGACGCAGCAACCUGCUCGCUGUGACCCUGGGGGAAAUAAACAACACGACUUCCAACAGCAGGCAGAGAAACAAGAGGACCCGCACACGCGUGCCAAAGUUCAGAAUUCAAAACCCUUUUCUCUCCUUCCUGUGCCUGUGGAUUAAAACCAGCUGAAGAGAGCCUCAUUAUCACAGAGAUUUAAUACCGCCUUCAAAAACAAGUUGAGACCCGCAACAAAAAGAUCCAAAAGAACC
rnacentral:misc_RNA from 1 species